rnacentral:lncRNA from 1 species
UGUGAAAAUUUAUUUGUUUCACCUGCCUUCUCAUGUUCAAUACCAGGUGUAGGGAUAGAGUAUGGUAGUGUCCACAAUAACUGACUAGUAGCUUCAAAGGUGGUAAGUAGCUCCUUAAAGGUUCCAUGGACGUAGAAAUUAUUAACCAUUGCUGUAUAACAUGUACGCCGCCUGCUGUCAAAUGUCAGUGCUCCCAUGUCAUCCACAACUUUUCCAAGGU